rnacentral:rRNA from 1 species
AAUCGAAGUCGAACGAGAAAGUGGAGCAUCCAUGAGUAAAGUGGCGACCGGGUGAGUAACACGUGACUAACCUACCUUCGAGUGGGGGAUAACCUCGGGAAACCGGGGCUAAUACCGCAUACGUCCUGAGGGAGAAGGCGGGGGAUCUGCAAGGACCUCGCGCUCAUGGAGCGGCCGAUGUCGGAUUAGCUAGUUGGCGGGGUAAGAGCCCACCAAGGCUACGAUCCGUAGCUGGUUUGAGAGAACGACCAGCCACACUGGGACUGAGACACGGCCCAGACUCCUACGGGAGGCAGCAGUGGGGAAUUUUGGACAAUGGGGGCAACCCUGAUCCAGCCAUGCCGCGUGAGUGAAGAAGGCCUUCGGGUUGUAAAGCUCUUUCGGCCGGAACGAAAUCGCGUACGCGAAUAACGUGCGUGGAUGACGGUACUGGAAGAAGAAGCACCGGCUAACUACGUGCCAGCAGCCGCGGUAAUACGUAGGGUGCGAGCGUUAAUCGGAAUUACUGGGCGUAAAGCGUGCGCAGGCGGUUCUGCAAGUCAGAUGUGAAAUCCCCGGGCUUAACCUGGGAACUGCGUUUGAAACUACGGAGCUAGAGUGCGGCAGAGGGGGGUGGAAUUCCACGUGUAGCAGUGAAAUGCGUAGAUAUGUGGAGGAACACCGAUGGCGAAGGCAGCCCCUGGGGCCGACACUGACGCCUCAGGCACGAAAGCGUGGGGAGCAACAGGAUUAGAUACCU